AUUGAACGCUGGCGGCAGGCCUAACACAUGCAAGUCGAGCGGAUGAAGGGAGCUUGCUCCUGGAUUCAGCGGCGGACGGGUGAGUAAUGCCUAGGAAUCUGCCUGGUAGUGGGGGAUAACGUCCGGACACGGGCGCUAAUACCGCAUACGUCCUGAGGGAGAAAGUGGGGGAUCUUCGGACCUCACGCUCUCAGAUGAGCCUAGGUCGGAUUAGCUAGUUGGUGGGGUAAAGGCCUACCAAGGCGACGAUCCGUAACUGGUCUGAGAGGAUGAUCAGUCACACUGGAACUGAGACACGGUCCAGACUCCUACGGGAGGCAGCAGUGGGGAAUAUUGGACAAUGGGCGAAAGCCUGAUCCAGCCAUGCCGCGUGUGUGAAGAAGGUCUUCGGAUUGUAAAGCCCUUUAGGUGGGGAGGAAGGGCAGUAAGUUAAUACCUUGCUGUUUUGACGGUACCAACAGAAUAAGCACCGGCUAACUUCGUG
rnacentral:rRNA from 1 species